UUCUUAUGUUCAUUUUAAUCUACUGUCAGUAUAAGACUGAUUAACUGGUCUAAUCUACGAUUUCGAUAUUCACGUAAUCGUUUGGAAGUCAGGGUUGUAGUAAACUCGUUUAUUUUGAUCUUGUCCAUUUCUGGAACCACGCUUCUGGAAGGCUUAUCGCGUUGUUUCAUUUCCUAACCUAAGUUGCCCCGUAGAACAGUGAUAUUUGUUCCGCGUUAUUAUAAUUUUAAGUUGAUACAAUGUCAUUAACAUAAAUAUUAAAAAGUAUAGGCCCAAAUAUACUUACCUGAGGGACCAAGAGUUGCUGUAGUGUCGACUUGAAUAAGAGAUCCAGUGUAUCGUAGAAAAUGAUGGAUUUUGGAAAUAAAUGUAAAUUGUAUUUAACGGGAUGGAGUUUUGGCUGUGGAAGAAAAGAAUUUUAUCUGCAUACCAAUUCUGUAGUAAAAUUGAUUGACAGAAGAUGAACCAGCCCAACUGAUCAAGCAUCAUGAUAUUGUAAAGACAGUGAUAUAAUUCUAAUGAUUAAAUAUAUAUCAAGAGAAGAACGUAAUAAACAGACAGUGAAUUUGUUGAAUAGAUGAUUAAUAUGAAUGACAAUUAAUAUCACAAGAAGGUUAUGCUUGACAGAGUUAGUUAAGGGAAACCAAUUUGGAUUUCUUUACAACAAAAUAUAUUUCAUAUUCAAUAUUCCCAAAGCAA